CUGGGCUCGAAUUGCUGAAGAGCUAACUUAUGGACAGAUUCCUAGCAGGAUUGCUAGCUAUACAGUCAGUUACAGAUGACUAGCAAAAUGCGCUGGAGUUACGGAGACUGUGUUCUUCUCUCCUGGGCCUGUGUCUCGAACGCACACCCUCUGUCUGCAUUGCCAGAACCCACCAUGAACACAUCCCUGUCUUCAUAUUCAGGGCCUGACAGAACUAGGCUGGCAGAGGAGAGCUGCAGGUCUAGACAAGCCAGCAGAAUAGAACCCCAGAAACAUGGGAGAGGGCCUCAAACACACUUAGUGCUGGAGAUCACCCUAUGAAUGGCAGACAAGAUUGGGGACAGGUGGAGCUGAUUGGGUUGUUGAGAGGUUGCACCUGGGUUUGGGACCAACUAGAAGAUAAACGUUCCAGGUGGCCAGUCCUGGAUCGCUCUCUCCCACAAGG